CCCUUAGAUGUCCGGGGCCGCACGCGCGCUACACUGAAGGAAUCAGCGUGGCUUUCUCCCUGACCCGAAAGGGUUGGGAAACCCGUUGAUUCUCCUUCGUGAUAGGGAUUGGGGCUUGAAAUUGUUCCCCAUGAACGAGGAAUUCCCAGUAAGCGCGAGUCAUAAGCUCGCGUUGAUUACGUCCCUGCCCUUUGUACACACCGCCCGUCGCUACUACCGAUUGAACGGUUUAGUGAGGGCCUCGGAUUGGUCUCGGCCCGCUCUUUACCGGGCGGCGCCGUUGGUCGAGAAGACGCUCGAACUUGAUCGUUUAGAGGAAGUAAAAGUCGUAACA
rnacentral:rRNA from 1 species